rnacentral:rRNA from 1 species
UACGGAGGAUCCAAGCGUUGUCCGGAUUUAUUGGGUUUAAAGGGUGCGUAGGCGGAUCUUUAAGUCAGUGGUGAAAUCCUGCAGCUUAACUGUAGAACAGCCAUUGAAACUGAGGAUCUUGAAUUUGGUUAAAGUAGGCGGAAUGUAUCAUGUAGCGGUGAAAUGCUUAGAUAUGAUACAGAGCACCGAUAGCGAAGGCAGCUUGCUGAACCAAUAUUGACGCUGAGGCACGAAAGCGUGGGGAGCGAACAGG